GGUAAAUGUCACGAUGUACGGAAUCGAAAGUAAAUACUCUCUCGCUCUCAGUUUGCACAGUCCGGGUGGAUAAAAGAGGUCGGAGUUUUGUAUGAAUAAAUCUGAAAAAAUAAGAAAUUAUUAUUAUUAAUAUUAUAUUUAUCUACAUAUGUAUAUGUAUGCAUGUAUGUAUAUUUUUUUUAUAACUAUUAACAACCGUACUUAUAUACGAGCGAAGGAAAAAAAAGUUGGUUGGUGGAAUGAAGAGAUUGACAGCUAAAGCUCAUUAUCCCAGAAAAGCCUUUUUGAAAUUGAAAAGAGUUGGAAAACACCCGCUUGUAGUGGGAUAUGGGGAACCAACGUUUCGAAGCCACACUGUCGGCCACUCAAUUGCAGUCGACGAUCGUUUGGACCACUGCUCUCAUAUAUGUAGAUAAAUAUUAUGCAUGUAUAUGAAUGUUUGUAUGUAUAUAAUAACUUCAAUUUCUUAAAAAAAAAACUUACGAAAUAAAUUUUCAUAAUCAACAGCAGUUUCUGGUGUACGCCUCUCUGCUAAUAUUUUUAAAAAUACUUUAUCAAUACCAGGAUAUUUUCGACGUAAUCUCGUGAAAUAUUGUUCGGCGUUGUUUAAGUCGCACAUGACAGUACUUUAUUUUGAACUUUUAUUAGAAAAAAAA